rnacentral:rRNA from 1 species
AGAGUUUGAUCCUGGCUCAGGAUGAACGCUGGCGGCGUGCCUAAUACAUGCAAGUCGAGCGAACCACUUCGGUGGUGAGCGGCGAACGGGUGAGUAACACGUAGGUGAUCUGCCCAUCAGACGGGGACAACGAUUGGAAACGAUCGCUAAUACCGGAUAGGACGAAAGUUUAAAGGUGCUUCGGCACCACUGAUGGAUGAGCCUGCGGCGCAUUAGCUAGUUGGUAGGGUAAAGGCCUACCAAGGCGACGAUGCGUAGCCGACCUGAGAGGGUGAACGGCCACACUGGGACUGAGACACGGCCCAGACUCCUACGGGAGGCAGCAGUAGGGAAUCUUCGGCAAUGGGCGAAAGCCUGACCGAGCAACGCCGCGUGAAUGAUGAAGGCCUUCGGGUUGUAAAAUUCUGUUAUAAGGGAAGAAUGACUCUAGUAGGAAAUGGCUAGAGUGUGACGGUACCUUAUGAGAAAGCCACGGCUAACUACGUGCCAGCAGCCGCGGUAAUACGUAGGUGGCGAGCGUUAUCCGGAAUUAUUGGGCGUAAAGAGCGCGCAGGUGGUUGAUUAAGUCUGAUGUGAAAGCCCACGGCUUAACCGUGGAGGGUCAUUGGAAACUGGUCAACUUGAGUGCAGAAGAGGGAAGUGGAAUUCCAUGUGUAGCGGUGAAAUGCGUAGAGAUAUGGAGGAACACCAGUGGCGAAGGCGGCUUCCUGGUCUGUAACUGACACUGAGGCGCGAAAGCGUGGGGAGCAAACAGGAUUAGAUACCCUGGUAGUCCACGCCGUAAACGAUGAGUGCUAAGUGUUGGGGGUCGAACCUCAGUGCUGAAGUUAACGCAUUAAGCACUCCGCCUGGGGAGUACGGUCGCAAGACUGAAACUCAAAAUCUGCGAAAA